UCUGUGUCACAAGCCUCCACCUACAGCAUCUGCCAGCAACCUCCACCUGUGGAUUCUGACAGAUUGCUGCAACCCAUGUCCUCCAACUAAUGUCCGAACUGAGUCCUCUUCUUGAAACCUGCACCUCUGACUCCACCUGCAGACUCUGGUAGAUUAGUGCAGCCAAAACCUCCACCUAAAGUGUCUUCCACCUUCUCUGCUCACAGCAUCUGUCAGUAACCUGUUGUUUCUUCCACCUACAGAUUAAUGAAGACCAAUGAGCCUCAACCUACAACUGUAGAUUCACGCAGACAGACGCAACACAGACCUCACCUUCAGAUUCUGGCAGAGCGAGGCAUCCACCUACAGCCCCCACCAGAAACUCCAUGGGAGAGGAUAAAAACACUUUUUCAGAACUUUCAUUUAUUUUGUAUUGCAUCAUCUCAGACAAACAUCAGCUGGUGGAUCCAUGCUGUUCCUAAAGGCAUCAUCAAACUGGGUCAGCUGUCCAUCAUGGAGAAGUCCAAGCUGUGUCACCUUCAUGGCAUUGUCCUCCAAAGAGCUGCUAGAAAUCAAUACACUGAGGAAAUUAUAUCCAGUUUCUUCACUUGAACCACAGCAGUGAAUCAUCACCUCUCUCCACCUGGUUCCUCUCGAUCGAAACUCAAGAUCAACCAGAGCCCAACAAGGUCCUGACCCGAGACCUCUCUGCUGCUGCAAGGAAGGAGACAACAGAACUCCUUUCAGAGGGCCAAUAAAAUAUCAGCCUACAUUA